AGGGCAGAGAAAGCUCCUCAAUGGGUACACGUGCUGAGUGCUUAUCACUCCCUGGUCCCUGGGGAGGUCUAAGACUGGGGUGUCCCGUAGCCGUAACUGGGCCCUCCCUGAGUGGAGAAGUGAGUACCAAUAGAACAGGGCUCCAUGCCUGGGCAGACUGGGCAGGAGAGGCCCCGAGUGGGCAGAUGCCUCCCUUGCCAAAGUUCGAACAGACUCACAAAUGAUUGUGAAAAGUGUUUGUGCUGGAAACUGAACUUUGAAACUCUGAAAGAAUGACGCUUUUAAUGACUGGGUCAUAUCUUCAGUCCCU
ensembl:ribozyme RNaseP_nuc Nuclear RNase P